ACGACUACAAUACGGAUAGUAUUUUCUAUCAGACAGUAAUAUCAUACACCAUCCAACGAGAAGGAAAAAGAGGAAAUAAUUAUUGGAAUCGCCAGCUGUUUUAACCAAUUAUUUGAGAAAAUGUAAAAAAUUAUUUGAAAAAAAUGUCAAAUGUCUACGGCAAAAAUUCGAAGACAUAAUAACAUGUCCACUCUGAAGGCUAUUCGUUUCUUCCAGGCUGCGUCCGGCGGCUGUUCAUUUUUUCUACGGCCAGAUAUACGGUGUCAUAGCCGCCGCGGAUUUCGUCUGGGCCAUUGAUAACGGCGCACCGCAUGCGGCGGUCUUGUUGUUUAUCUCCGAACGGAUAAACGUGAAAUGUGUCUUAAAUAUUAACGGAAAAAGUAUUUUUUAUGGUCAGUGUUUGCGGUUGGGUUUUGGAGUUGAAAAAGUAACGUUCUGUAGGCUGUUCCCAAUGGGUAUACCUACUCUGCGACACUUUCGUUUACCGGCGUUGUGGAAGUUCUGGCGUCUCAUGAAGUCCACAAUUGAUUUUCCUGCGGCCAUCGAAAAAUCUCUGCGGUUAAGUUAUUCAUUUUGAUGUUGAUUAACGGAUAGUUUGCUUUCUAAUGUUACCACUUGAUUUUUCUACGUUGGAUUCACCAAUUUGAGAAGACUGUCAAUCGGUGAUACCGAUACAAGCCAAAUAUUUUGACCGUUGGAAACGACCAGUAUUGUGUCUGUUGAUUUCCAUGCCUGCCGAAAAAUGAUAAGAAUGUCAAAUUGGAUGCAAGAUCACUUUGUUGAUGUUACAAACUCAUUUAGCAAAUUAUAAAACUAAUAACUUAUUUACAUUUUUAACUGCCAAUUUUAAAAUAAUUGUAUGUAUGAUUGUUGAUGUAAAAUAUUUCAAGAUGCAUUUUCAAUAUUUUUUGUACUGUAAUUCGAAUAUUACACUUUGGUUAGAUUAGAUUAACUUAUAAUUUGUGCUAUUCAUUCUAUUAUAACUAAUUUAGGUACAUUUCAUUUGUUUUUUACUAUCGAGUUCACAGGAUACACAAACAUAUAAUUUUUCUACAAUUUUGGACUUCUGACAAACCAGCAGACCUCUUUAGUAUACCGCGUGUACCUUUCAUGAUUAAAUUCUAAUUCUAAUUCUAAACGUACAAUACCAAAUACUGACAUAGAUAUGAUUUCUCAACAGAUUACGAUUCUAAUGACCAAUAUCUAGACAUAUUAUAUAGUAUAGGUACUACACUUAAACAAGUUUUGUUUCGCAAAACACCAUACCACACAUUUAGCCGACUGACCUCUAAACAUUUCUUUCUGUUUUAUACCAUUGCUUACCAAGCCCGUAAAGUAAGCAACACCACAUACUUGAUUUUCAACAUAU